GAAAGAGGAGUGGCGGACGGGUGAGUAACMCGUGGGUAACCUACCCAUCAGAGGGGGAUAACACUUGGAAACAGGUGCUAAUACCGCAUAACAGUUUAUGCCGCAUGGCAUAAGAGUGAAAGGCGCUUUCGGGUGUCGCUGAUGGAUGGACCCGCGGUGCAUUAGCUAGUUGGUGAGGUAACGGCUCACCAAGGCCACGAUGCAUAGCCGACCUGAGAGGGUGAUCGGCCACACUGGGACUGAGACACSGCCCAGACUCCUACGGGAGGCAGCAGUAGGGAAUCUUCGGCAAUGGACGAAAGUCUGACCGAGCAACGCCGCGUGAGUGAAGAAGGU
rnacentral:rRNA from 1 species